UAGAGAUAUACCUUCCCUUCGGGGCAGCGGUGACAGGUGGUGCAUGGUUGUCGUCAGCUCGUGUCGUGAGAUGUUGGGUUCAGUCCCGCAACGAGCGCAACCCUUAUCUUUAGUUGCCAGCAGGUCAAGCUGGGCACUCUAGAGAGACAGCCGGUGAAAGCCGGAGGAAGGUGGGGAUGACGUCAAAUCAUCAUGCCCCUUAUGUCCUGGGCUACACACGUGCUACAAUGGCUGGUACAAUGGGAUGCGAUACCGCGAGGUGAAGCCAAUCCCAAAAAGCCAGUCUCAGUUCGGAUUGCAGGCUGCAACUCGCCUGCAUGAAGUCGGAAUCGCUAGUAAUCGCGGAUCAGCAUGCCGCGGUGAAUACGUUCCCGGGCCUUGUACACACCGCCCGUCACACCACGAGAGUUUGCAACACCCGAAGUCGGUGAGGGAACCUCACGGACCCAGCCGCCGAAGGUGGGGCAGAUGAUUGGGGUGAAGUCGUAACAAGGUAUCCCUACCGGAAGGUGGGGAUGGAUCACCUCCUUUCUACGGAG
rnacentral:rRNA from 2 species